AUUGGUGGUGGACAGACAAAGAAAUUGAUGCUCUUGUUUAUCCUCAAGGAAGACGGUAAACCCUCAAAUCCAAAUUAUGUUUGCUUAUCUGAUUUCUCUUUCUGAAAACAUAGUGAAUUAGCCACCGAUUCUGCAAUCUUUGAUUAUUGAUCAUCUUAGCAUCUAAGCACGAGAAGAGGCUGAAAAGGCCAAAGAAGGUGAUGGAUCCACAACACUUUCAAUGAGUGGAAGAUGAUUUGGUUAAAUGGGAUUGUUCUUGUUUGGAAAAAGGAGAG